rnacentral:misc_RNA from 1 species
GGGUUCAUCUCCCUGAGGGGUCUCCA